CCGGUGAACAACGGUAACCUGGAAACCCGAACAAUGAAAAGUGGCGAACGGGUGAGUAACACGUGGGUAACCUGCCCAUCAAAAGGGGAUAACACUUGGAAACAGGUGCUAAUACCGUAUAACAAUCGAAACCGCAUGGUUUUGAUUUGAAAGGCGCUUUCGGGUGUCGCUGAUGGAUGGACCCGCGGUGCAUUAGCUAGUUGGUGAGGUAACGGCUCACCAAGGCCACGAUGCAUAGCCGACCUGAGAGGGUGAUCGGCCACAUUGGGACUGAGACACGGCCCAAACUCCUACGGGAGGCAGCAGUAGGGAAUCUUCGGCAAUGGACGAAAGUCUGACCGAGCAACGCCGCGUGAGUGAAGAAGGUUUUCGGAUCGUAAAACUCUGUUGUUAGAGAAGAACAAGGAUGAGAGUAACUGUUCAUCCCUUGACG
rnacentral:rRNA from 1 species